UUCCGAAAAACGCCACAGCGUCCUUUCGGUUUUGAGGGGGAGAAAAAGCAGAGAUGUAAUCAGAGCUACAAUUGCCCCCGGACGGGACAAGCUGGGCUGCCUCCUGUUUUAUGAGCGGCCGGAACAAUUACCGUUUAAAAUAAUCACAAGACACUGGCAUGAGCCUGGUGACUAACAGGGCAGGGGCUGGAGAGGCAUCACAAGACAGUCCUGCGGUCCUUGUGACUUCACCCCGUGGGGCACGAGCCCUGGCCCAGGGGCCCCGCAAGCUACUGCUCCCGCCGGAGAGAGCGCUCAGGCUAUGCCCGCCAGCCCGAAGGUGCCGGGACACACGGCAGGGGUGCAGCGGGGAGGGACCGCGUGGCUGUGCUCCCGGCCCUCCCCGUCCCCCCUGCCGGGAGCCUGUGGGGCUCAGGCUGCCCCACGUGACAUGUGCAACACGGAGAGAGAAGCAGGACAGCCUGAGCACGGCUGUCUCCCCUGACACGAGGAACACUGCCCGCACAUCAGUGUCACCUGAUCUUCUCUGAAGUCAGCAGUUAAACACAAAACGGUGACAAAACCAGGCUAGCCGGAGCUGUUUUCUGCGGACCCUGCAGAGAUGGCCCAGCGCUUCGGGGACAUCCUCCUCAGGAAAGAGACACAGAAGGUGCUCGCGCUCAUCCCCUUACAGGACGUACCUGGAGAGUCUGCGAGGGGGGCAGUAUGGCCACAGGUCUGGGGGAAGCUUCUGAACUUUGGGGUGAUCCGUCGGGGAUGUGGCGUCACAAAGAGCUGUUUCGGCGUCUGCCCGAAUUCCAAGAUCUGGGUUAGCAUGGCCACUUUCUCGUCCGGGUCCUCGAUGCUUCGGGUCAGAACAGAUAAUGCAGUGAGCGCCUUGAAAGCACAAACGUCAGAUACUGCAGGUCAUCGGGAGAGGGGUGAACCUUCACGUCGUUGCUGCUGACUGAGCAACCACUACCUGUGGGGGCCGUCCGGGCCCAUCACAGACCGUUAGGCCGCUUUCUGAGGCUCGGGGGCGAGAUAGAACUCAUCGUAAAACUUCCGUAUCUUAACAUUAUUUGCAGAGCAUUUAAAGAGACAUCGAACGGCACCCUUGUGAGCAACACUGGGAAAGAACCGGCGGCGGCGGUGGAAUUCUGCCUGUGUCUUUCUGUUCCAUGAAUAAGACACUCUGGGGCCCUUCACUGGAACUCAGGGCGCCCUUCUAGCAUAUUCUGACCAAAUAUCAGGUCGAUCCACUCGUGGAGGUGCUCUGACACGUAAGUGCUUUCCAGCGCGUCUCUGCUCUUCUGGAGGAAGUCCUCGGGACCUGUGUGGUUAGACGCCAUCAACACACCGCAGCCCUCAUUUCUUCCCUCCUGUUUCUCUCGUGCAGCGGAAGGCUCAGCAAGCUUCCGGGAGACGCAAGAAACUCACAGACCAUUUCGGAUUUGGAAGGGGACUGACAGUGCCUCAUUUACAGAGAAAACGAUACCGCCAUUUGAAAAAGAACCCAGGCCACUAUGUACGACAACACUGCGGGGACACUGCCAGGCGAGGAAGCGCUGGAACUCAGUACUUGUGCGGGGUACUCACUCCGCGCCCAGGGGGGCAGUUCAACGUCUUCCACCAUCUGCCCGCCCUGUCUCUUGCCCAGGUCCAACUUCAGACUAUUAACUAAAAAGCUGACGUCGUCGCCAUAGAAUUCUGGAAUCAACUGCACGUGUCAGGGGAAGAAAACAAAACAAAAUAAAUAAAUAAAACAAGGAAGAGCCACACUGUUUUUCCAAACAGCUAGAAACCACAAGCCCAGGGACUCCUCAGCUUCACUAACUGCUCACCUCUUUAAAGUCUGUGGCACCGUCCAAGCAGUUUCUCCAAGUUUCUGCAAUGCUGAGUACAAAACAGACAGACAAAAUCAAGCGAUCGGAAGUCUCAGGCGAGUGAAACACCGACCACAUCGCAGUCUACGCAGCUCAGGGUCGGCCUGCACUUCACCUGCACUGACUCACUUCUCUCCCUAACUCACAACGCUCAACGCGUGUACAGGGAAGCCCUCGCUGGGCUCACGCGGGAGGGACAUGGGCAAGGGCGCGGACCCGACGGGAGGCCCCGCACCCGCGCCGCCUCGCUGCAGGGCGAGGGCGGCCGCUGCGUAACCACGGACAACCUGGCGCGGCUGUUGUGCCAGCGCCGUGCAGAAAGGGAUUAGAAGGAGCAGCGCCCGGUGUGAAGACAGACUGAGGGGCGCACACGACAAGACCGAUGAGCGUCCUCUCAGCGUGCUGGGGGCCGAGGGAACCGAACUGUCCUCCUCUCCAUAUUUUCUGAUUUUUUUUUUUUGGCAGGGAAUUUACCUUUACCUUUACAAUUUAAAAAAAAGUUAAAUGCUCCAAGGAAAUGGUACUCAAUUAACAAUUAUCUAGUAUAACAAAAUGUUAGAAAUAGCCUAAUGACCAACAGCAGGGAAACUGCUUAAAUUAUGGCAUGGAUCAGGAUGUGAUAUGAUAAUUUAGAAAAUUGCUGUUUUGAAGCUCAUCUGAUAACAUGGGGGAAACUUCAACAUCUAAUAUAAGGCUGUAAUUAAGGCAGGACAAAAGCUGUAUUUAAAGAAGUUCAUACACUUA